rnacentral:rRNA from 1 species
AAUAUUUGACAAUGGGCGCAAGCCUGAUCCAGCCAUGCCGCGCGAGUGAUGAAGGCCCUAGGGUUUUUAAGCUCCUUUUUCCGGGACGAUACUGACGGUACCGGUAGCAUAAGCCCCGGCUAACCUCGUGUCAGCAGCCGCGGUAAUACGAAGGGGGUUAGCGUUGCUCGGAAGCACAGGGCGUAAAGGGCGCGUAGGCGGACGUUUAAGUCAGGGGUGAAAUCCCGGGGCUCAACCUCGGAAUUGCCUUUGAUACUGGAUGUCUCGAGACCGGAAGAGGUAAGUGGAACUGCGAGUGUAGAGGUGAAAUUCGUAGAUAUUCGCAAGAACACCAGUGGCGAAGGCGGCUUACUGGUCCGGUUCUGACGCUGAGGCGCGAAAGCGUGGGGAGCAAACAGG